rfam:Brachypodium distachyon strain Bd21 chromosome 2, whole genome shotgun sequence.
GUCCCAUCGGAGACAUCCCAUAAAAUUGGAACGGUAUUGACAAGAUUAGCAUGGUCCCGCAACAUGAUAAUGAUAGAAGUGCUAUUGAAGAAAUACUUUUUU